UACGUAGGUUGCGAGCGUUAUUCGGAUUUACUGGGCGUAAAGAGCACCGAGGUGGCUUCUUAAGUUGGAUGUAAAAUCUCCUGGCUUAACUGGGAGGCGCCAUUCAAAACUGAGGAGCUUGAGGUCAGCAGGGGAAGGUGGAAUUCCCGGUGUAGUGGUGGAAUGCGUAGAGAUCGGGAGGAACACCAGUGGCGAAAGCGGGUCUCUGGGCAGUAACUGACGCUGAGGAGCGAAAGCGUGGGGAGCGAACAGG
rnacentral:rRNA from 1 species